GCCCGGAUGGUGGAAUCGGUAGACACAAGGGAUUUAAAAUCCCUCGGCGUUCGCGCUGUGCGAGUUCAAGUCUCGCUCCGGGCACCA
rnacentral:tRNA from 1 species